AUCGGUCGCUCUUGUCCGAA
rnacentral:snRNA from 1 species